UGAGAGAACCCUGGUUAAGGAACUCGGCAAAUUGACACCGUAACUUCGGGAGAAGGUGUGCCGCUGGCGGUUAGUGACUUCGCGUCACGAAGCUGUCGGCGGUCGCAGUGAAAUGGCGGUUGUGACUGUUUACUAAAAACACAGGACUCUGCGAAGUCGUAAGACGACGUAUAGGGUCUGAUGCCUGCCCGGUGCUGGAAGGUUAAGGGGAUAUGUCAGCGCAAGCGAAGCAUUGAACCGAAGCCCCAGUAAACGGCGGCCGUAACAAUAACGGUCCUAAGGUAGCGAAAUUCCUUGUCGGGUAAGUUCCGACCUGCACGAGGGCAUAACAACAUCCGCACUGUCUCGACCAGGGACUCAGCGAAAUUACAUUGGGGGUGAAGAUGCCCUCUACCCGCGGAAAGACGGAAAGACCCCAUGAACCUUUACUGCAACUUGGCAGUGAUUUUCGGGUUGUUCUGCGUAGGAUAGGUGGGAGGCUUUGAAGCCGGGCUUCCGGGUUCGGCAGAGCCAACGUUGAAAUACCACCCUGAAUAAUCUGGAAAUCUAACCUGCGCCCAUGAUCUGGGCGAGGGACACUGCCUGGUGGGCAGUUUGACUGGGGCGGUCGCCUCCUAAAUUGUAACGGAGGCGUGCGACGGUUCCCUCAGGCUGAUUGGAAACCAGCCGUAGAGUGCAAACGCAUAAGGGAGCUUUACUGCGAGACUGACAAGUCGAACAGUUGCGAAAGCAGGUGUUAGUGAUCCGGUGGUACCACAUGGAAGGGCCAUCGCUCAUCGGAUAAAAGGUACUCUGGGGAUAACAGGCUGAUCGCGCCUGAGAGUUCACAUCGGCGGCGCGGUUUGGCACCUCGAUGUCGGCUCAUCGCAUCCUGGGGCUGGAGCAGGUCCCAAGGGUUUGGCUGUUCGCCAAUUAAAGCGGUACGCGAGCUGGGUUUAAAACGUCGUGAGACAGUUUGGUCCCUAUCUUCCGUGGGCGCAGGACACUUGAGAGGAGCUAUCCAUAGUACGAGAGGACCUGGAUGGACGAACCUCUGGUGCUCCGGUUGUCACGCCAGUGGCAUAGCCGGGUAGCCAUGUUCGGAACAGAUAACCGCUGAAGGCAUAUAAGCGGGAAGCUGGCCUCAAGACUAGGUGUCCCUGACGCAAGUCACUAAAGGCCCCUCGAAGACUACGAGGUUGAUAGGCUCGGUGUGGAAGCGCUGCGAGGCGUGGAGCUAACGAGUACUAAUAGGCCGUGCGACUUGACCCC
rnacentral:rRNA from 1 species